rnacentral:rRNA from 1 species
UACGUAGGGGGCAAGCGUUGUCCGGAUUUAUUGGGCGUAAAGAGCUUGUAGGUGGUUUGUCGCGUCUGCUGUGAAAAUCCGAGGCUCAACCUCGGACUUGCAGUGGGUACGGGCAGACUAGAGUGUGGUAGGGGAGACUGGAAUUCCUGGUGUAGCGGUGAAAUGACGCAGAUAUCAGGAAGAACACCAAUGGCGAAGGCAGCUCUCUGGGACGGUACUGACACUGAGACGCGAAAGCGUGGGGAGCCGAACAGG